rnacentral:misc_RNA from 1 species
AAGUCGUAACAAGGUUUCCGUAGGUGAACCUGCGGAAGGAUCAUUAAAAAAAAACACUCUAUACACCGAGCACUGGCUAGUAAUAGCCACAUACAACACUAUUUUUAUACCAGAGUCAAUAAAAAGUUGAUAAAAACAACUUUUAGCAACGGAUCUCUAGGUUCUC